ensembl:lncRNA
GAGGAGAGCAGGGUGGGCUGGGUGCUGGAGCGAGUAGGACGUUAACAGCCAAUAGUUUGCACCUGUCCGUCAACUCGCACCACCCACUCAGCGCCGCUCGGGCCAGCGCGGGCGGCCGCUUCGCUGGUACCGCGUUCCUCCGAGGGUCGGGCACCAUGUGGGGGGCGGGCAGCGGAGUGGGGAAGGGGGAAUAAAACCAACCCGAGAGGCCCCGGCCCCGGAGGGGAAUGCAGGAGGGGCGCCUGCACCCUGACCGCGCGCGGCCAGUAGGGGAGGAACCCUGAUCCCAGACCAAAAGCCCGACCUGCCAGGGAGGGGCCGCCAGGGUGUUAGAGAGAGUUCCGGGGUCCGAGACGGCCGGGUUGGGGGAGAGGUUCUGCCCCGGGCCGCUGGGUACCCUUCGGGCCAGCGCCCGUGUCCCGCGUCAUAGUUCGGGGCUGCUCCCUCUCCCGGGAGCGCCGCCCUUGCAGGCUGUGCAGCCUGUUCUAGGCCGUGGGAGAGCACUAAAGAAGACUUUCAAGCCACUCCUCGAAGAGCUUCUGAUCCGUGGGGGAGAUGAAAUCUGCCUUCCUUAUUUACAUGACCCUGGAUGUCUGCCAUUUUGAAGAAUUCCAGCUAAUGCCUGUCUUCCCAGGGAACUGUUCUCAAAAAAUAGUCCCAGAGGAGCCUAUUAAAAGAUGACAGCACACAUGGAGGAGAGUCCAGGUGUCCCAGCUGAGGCCAUUCAGACCAGCGUAGGAGUCAACUCCUAGACAUGUGAGAGAGCUCAGCCAAAAUCAGGAGAGCUGCCUACAACACCCACAGCUGAUGCACGAGUAAGGCCAGCCAAGAGUAGAAAAACUACCCAGCUGACCCAUAUACCUACGAGCAAUAAUAAAUGCUUACUGUUUUAAGCCACUGAGUUUUGGGUGGUUUGUAACGCAGCAGUGUGGGAAUUGAUACACCCUACCCAAUGUGUAGAACAUGCACUAUUCUACUCCCUACUUAAAGAACCUUUACAAUGAUGACACUUUAAUGAGGUUAAGACAUCAUGAUAUCUGUGAGGUGAUAACAUUUGCUUAAUAAAGAUCAUUUUAAAGAUUGCCAAGCAAUUUAUAUACACCAUUGCUAAUUCUUACAACAACCCAGAAAAUGUGGAUAUAAUUAUCAAUUCCACUUUACAGAUGAAGAAAUUGAGAGUAAUAUAGGUUGAAUAAUUCACUCAAUGUCACACACUAGGUGGUGGAGUUGACAUUGGAACCCAUGUCCUUUCAGUGCCGAAGACUUUAUCUUUCCUUUCUGCCAUACUGUGGGAACUGGAAGGACUAUACAUACUUUCCAGCCCAAAACUCUUAUUUUUGAGGUAAAGAAACCAAAGAAGUGCAAUAACUUGGCUAAAGUGAUUCACAAUAUAAAGUUUUCAAUCUCUAUAAUUCCAAAUACUCACCUCUGAUUGCAAAAAUGGAGACCCUGAGCAACAAGCCCAGAGUCGUUUUGACCUGGGUAGAGGAAUUUUCACUUUUAAAUAAGCAUAACAGGUGAUUCUGCUGCAAGUGGGCCAUGAAUUAUCUGAGAAAGGCUGAGUCAAGUGAGUCCUGGGGCCAGGACUCAGAUCCUGGUCUUCUGAUUCUCAGCGAGGUCAGCU